rnacentral:tRNA from 1 species
GGGGACAUGGCUUAGUUGGUAGAGUGCUUGCUUCACAUGUACAAGGCCCUGGGUUCAAUCCCCAGCACCCCCC